GACGAACGCUGGCGGCGUGCUUAACACAUGCAAGUCGAGCGGUAAGGCCCUUUCGGGGUACGACGAGCGGCGAACGGGUAGGAGUAACAACGUGGGUGGACCUCGCCCUCCAGCUCUGGGAGUAAGCCUCGGGAAACCGGGUACGUAAUACCGGAUAUGACUCCAUGACGCAUGUUGUGGGGUGGAAAGCCUUGUGCGGCUGAGGAUGGGCCCGCGGCCUAUCAGCUUGUUGGGCGGGGUGGAU
rnacentral:rRNA from 1 species